AGUGAACGCUGGCGGUAGGCCUAACACAUGCAAGUCGAACGGCAGCACAGUAAGAGCUUGCUCUUACGGGUGGCGAGUGGCGGACGGGUGAGGAAUACAUCGGAAUCUACUUUUUCGUGGGGGAUAACGUAGGGAAACUUACGCUAAUACCGCAUACGACCUACGGGUGAAAGCAGGGGAUCUUCGGACCUUGCGCGAUUGAAUGAGCCGAUGUCGGAUUAGCUAGUUGGCGGGGUAAAGGCCCACCAAGGCGACGAUCCGUAGCUGGUCUGAGAGGAUGUUCAGCAACACUGGAACUGAGCCACGGUCCAGACUCCUACGGGAGGCAGCAGUGGGGAAUAUUGGACAAUGGGCGCAAUCCUGAUCCAGCAAGACCGCGUGGGUGAAGAAGGCCUUCGGGUUUUAAAGCCCUUUUGUUGGGAAAGAAAAGCAGCAGGUUAAUACCCCGCUGUUCUGACGGUACCCAAAGAAUAAGCACCGGCUAACUUCGUG
rnacentral:rRNA from 1 species